CACGGAGGGAGCUAGCGUUGUCCGGAUUUAUUGGGUUUAAAGGGUGCGUAGGCGGCCCGUUAAGUCAGUGGUGAAAGCCUCCAGCUCAACUGGGGAACUGCCAUUGAUACUGGCGGGCUUGAGUACAGACGAGGUAGGCGGAAUUGAUUGUGUAGCGGUGAAAUGCAUAGAUACAAUCAAGAACACCGAUUGCGUAGGCAGCUUACUAGGCUGUAACUGACGCUGAGGCACGAAAGCGUGGGGAGCGAACAGG
rnacentral:rRNA from 1 species